GCCAGCAGCCAUAUCACUCUGGAACUCACAACUGCCAACCCACUGAAGCUAAGCAGGUAUGAGUGUGGCCAGUACCUGGAUGGGAGACCUCCUGGGAAACACUAAGGUUACUGCUGGAA
rnacentral:rRNA from 1 species